rnacentral:rRNA from 1 species
GACGAACGCUGGCGGCGUGCCUAAUACAUGCAAGUCGAACGAGUGGCGGACGGGUGAGUAACACGUGGGUAACCUACCCAUCAGAGGGGGAUAACACUUGGAAACAGGUGCUAAUACCGCAUCUUGGUGAGGGGCUUGCGUCCGAUUAGCUAGUUGGUGGGGUAAUGGCCUACCAAGGCUUCGAUCGGUAGCUGGUCUGAGAGGAUGAUCAGCCACACUGGGACUGAGACACGGCCCAGACUCCUACGGGAGGCAGCAGCAAGGAAUCUUGGGCAAUGGGCGAAAGCCUGACCCAGCAACGCCGCGUGAGGGAUGAAGGCUUUGGGUUGUAAACCUCUUUUCACAGGGAAGCGGUACCUGUGGAAUAAGCUUCGGCUAACUACGUGCCAGCCGCCGCGGUAAUUC